CUCAGGGGCCCCUAUCUCGGGCCACCGCGCCUAGGCCCGUGAGCAGCCUGUGGCUGAGGCAUGGCGGCACAGCCCACCGGCGUGCCUGCGAAACAGCUGUGCUCCUGAUUCUCAGGCCUUGGGACCCAGACCAGGAUUUCCAUCAGCUCCCUUGGCUCACAGGCCUUCUGACUUCUGACUCGGACUAAAUCACACCAACCGCUGUCCAGCUUGCCAACGACAGCACAUCGUGGGACUUCUUGGCCUCCGUAAUCACUUGAAACAAUGCCUUCAGUAUAUCUCCUAUUAAAUAAAUAUAUAUCUGAUUUCUUA